AGCUUUGCGCAGUGGCAGUAUCGUAGCCAAUGAGGUUUAUCCGAGGCACGAUUAUUGCUAACAGAAGUCUGAGCACCUUCUGUGGCCUCUGCAGGAGACCGGUCUCAGGGUGAACCAGCCGGCAUCCUUUGCAGUGCAGCUGAACGGU